rnacentral:rRNA from 1 species
CCAAUCGAACCCGGAGAUAGCUGGUUCUCCUCGAAAUAGCUUUAGGGCUAGCCUCAUGGAUCAUUGGUGGGGGUAGAGCACUGAAUGUGCGCGGGGGCCACAAAGCCUACCAAACGCUAUCAAACUACGAAUACCAUACAAUGCAGACCAUGGGAGUCAGUCCGCGAGAGAUAAGUUCCGCGGGCAAAAGGGGAACACCCCAGAUCAACCGCUAAGGUCCCCAAGUUCACGUUAAGUGGAGAAGGAUGUGGAAUUGCACAGACAACCAGGAUGUUGGCUCAGAAGCAGCCACACAUUUAAAGAGUGCGUAAUAGCUCACUGGUCGAGUGAUUGUGCGCCGAAGAUGUCCGGGGCUAAACGUGACACCGAAGCGAUGGGUGCAUCUGAAAGGAUGCGCGGUAGAGGAGCAAUGUGCAGAGGCAGAAGCCGUAUCGAGAGGCACGGUGGACACUGCACAAGAGAGAAUGCCGGUAUGAGUAGCGAGAGGCAUGCGAGAAACAUGCCCGUCGAAAGCCCAAGGUUUCCUGGGGAAGGUUCAUCCGCCCAGGGUAAGUCGGGGCCUAAGCCGAGGACGGAAGUCGUAGGCGAUGGACAGCAGGUGUAGAUUCCUGCACUACCGAUGGAAUGAAGCAGUGACACAGAAGGAUAACUCGAGCAGGGUGAUGGUCAACCCUGUGCAAGCAUCAAGGUUGGGUUGUAGUGAAGUACGCAACCCUACAAGCUGAGGUGUGAUGCGGACCGAAAUUUUAGUAGGGAAGCGAGUGAGUUCACGCUGGCGAGAAAAGCUGCUAGUACAUCCAAAGGUACCCGUACCGGAAACCGACGCAGGUGGGCGAGGAGAGAAUCCUGAGACGAACGGGAGAACCCUUGUUAAGGAACUCGGCAAAAUGACCCCGUAACUUCGGGAUAAGGGGUGCCUGCGAGAGCAGGCCGCAGAGAAUAGUCACAAGCGACUGUUUAGCAAAAACACAGGUAUCUGCGAAAGCGAGAGCUGACGUAUAGGUGCUGACACCUGCCCGGUGCUGGAAGGUUAAGGGAACAUGUUAGAGCAAUCGAAGCAUCGAACCGAAGCCCCAGUAAACGGCGGCCGUAACUAUAACGGUCCUAAGGUAGCGAAAUUCCUUGUCGGGUAAGUUCCGACCCGCACGAAUGGUGUAACGACUUGUGAGCUGUCUCAACAGGGGGCCCGGUGAAAUUGAAGUAUGGGUGAAGAUGCCCAUUACCCGCGACUGGACGGAGAGACCCCGUAGAGCUUUACUGCAGCCUGAUAUUGAGUUUCGGUAACUGAUGCACAGGAUAGGUGGGAGUCUGAGAGACAUGGGUUUCGGCUCAUGUGGAGACGGUGUUGGGAUACCACUCUUCGGUUACUGAAAUUCUAACAUAGCUCUGUGAAACCAGAGGAUGGACAGUGUCAGGUGGACAGUUUGACUGGGGCGGUCGCCUCCGAAAGAGUAACGGAGGCGCCCAAAGGUACCCUCAGAAUGGAUGGAAACCAUUCGAAGAGCGCAAAGGCAGAAGGGUGCCUGACUGCGAGAGUGACAACUCGAGCAGAGACGAAAGUCGGGCUUAGUGAUCCGGCGGUAUUGAGUGGAAAAGCCGUCGCUUAACGGAUAAAAGCUACCUCGGGGAUAACAGGCUGAUCUCCCCCAAGAGUCCACAUCGACGGGGAGGUUUGGCACCUCGAUGUCGGCUCGUCGCAUCCUGGGGCUGAAGCAGGUCCCAAGGGUUUGGCUGUUCGCCAAUUAAAGCGGCACGCGAGCUGGGUUCAGAACGUCGUGAGACAGUUCGGUCCCUAUCCAUCGUGGGCGUAGGAGUCAUGAGAGGAGCUGUUCCUAGUACGAGAGGACCGGAAUGGACGCACCACUGGUGCAACUGUUGUCGUGCCAACGGCAUAGCAGGGAAGCGAAGUGCGGAUGGGAUAAACGCUGAAGGCAUCUAAGCGUGAAGCCCACCUCAAGAAUAAGACUCCACAAUAGACCCCUGGAGGACUACCAGGUAGAUAGGUCAUCGGUGGAAGCGCUGUAAGGCGUGUAGCUUGAUGAUACUAAUCGGUCGAAAGCUUCAUUU